GGGAGGAUAAAAAGAAAACUAUGUCAGAAAUGCUGCCAAGCUCAUAACUAUAAUUAUACUAUAUAGGAAACACUGUGUAUUACUAUUAAGCUCAUCUUUACUAUCAAGGAUUCCGAAGAUUCCACACAUUCUAAGAAAAGAAUGAAAAGAAAAGAAGAUAAUAUAGUAUAUCAUGCUAUCUACCCUUAGCAUCUUACAAAAUCUCAAAAUGAACAAGUAAAAUCAUGGACUAGUCAGAAAUUGAUUAGCUAUCCAGCCAGAACGAUGGUAAUUACUACAGCUUAGAAAGACAAUUAAAUGCCUGGCAAACAAUGUCCACAGUUAUUACUCAACAAUAUUAAAUGAUCAAUGCUUAACUAAGGCCAUCAGCCAACAACAAUGAUAACAAAACCAUCCUUAUUAAUUCCAUUAUUGCAGUGAUGGGUAAUAAAGGCUUUAAGAGAUAUAUAAAAAGGCAAAAGAGUUCAUUUAAACAAUGUCUAAUUUGUAUUGGUGAACUAGGAUUUUGUUGAUAUGUUUGGAUUAGAUAGUUUUAAUAUUUUGAUAAGUCUAUAGCUUAUUAUAACUCCCUUGAGUUUAGAUUCUUACCCUAUAGAAGAGAAUAUAUGAUUUCAACUUGCAGCAGUGACUGUUGAAUUAUUGAUAUAUUGAGAUUUUUUUUUUUUUGAUGACCAAAAUAUUGAGAUUUUCCUUCUAAAUUCUUCUUCUAUCUUCUCUAAUUCUCUUUCAGUCUCUUCUUCACUUCUCCUUAUUUCUCCUCUAUUUUUUUAUUUUUUUAUUUUUUUGUUCUCUCCUCUCUAUUUCUCUGUUAUCUUCUCCUUUAUUUAGUUCUUCGUAAAGUUCUGCAUCAAUUUGGUAUCAAAGCCUACUCUUCCCUCUGACCGAAUUCUCAUGAAAGUUUUGCUAUCGUUUGUGUUAUAUCCACCUCCAUUGUUCAUCCAAAAGUAUUAUUUAAUCAGAAGUCAAAAGAAAAAAAUGAUGUCAGCAUAUGAGUUUCAGUUUUGUAGCAACAAAGCCAAUCCAUUAUAGACUGACUGCUGAUUGAAGACCCACAUAAGCAACCCAAUACAACAAAAAAGAAAAGCACAACAGGUUGAAAUGCACGAUGAAGAGGUUAAUUCAAGAAGUAGCCGAACAAACAAAGCACGGGAAGUUGUUGCAUGAGGCUCAGUAAAAGGUAGAAACAGAACACUCCGACUGGAUUGCAAAACUAGCAAUAACAUCUUGGUUAUAACAUAGCCACUACACUCCAAGUCAACAUCAUUUAGUGGAGACGAGAAUCAGUUUAUAUUGGAAAGAGUUUAACUUGAAGGAGCCUAGGUCUCUUAGCAAAGAAAUGAUGGGGAAUAAAGGUAAGCAAUAGGAAAAAAAGGUUUAGCAGUCCCCUUGAGUUUAGAUUCUUUCUCUGUAAAAGAGAACCUAGGAUUUCAAUUUACAUUAGACUAUUGAUUAUAUUAAAUCCUCCUCUACAAUCUCUCUUACACGGCAAAACCUUCUCAUGGAGUUUGGAAAUGAUAUCUUUUUGUUUGCAAAGCACAUGGCAAAGUACCAAAUGAAAAGGUACCAUAUGAUGUCAUAAAGCAAUUGCAAGGAAGAACU
rnacentral:lncRNA from 1 species